CACACUUACCCUCAUCCUUAUCUCCUUCCCCCGUGUACCUUCUCUGUCUCGAACAAUCUCUCUCUCUCUACUUCUCCAUUUGUACGGACAAGACCCAAAACCCUUGUAAACGUUGCAGAUCAAGGUGGAAAAUUAUACCUUUGUGUUCGUGAAGACCAUAGGAGUUCAACCAUACCAAUUUCAGAGAAUUUGAAGCUUAUAGGAAGCUUAAUGAGGUCCUUAGGAAACUCGGGGUGGUUCGUUGGAAGGAUUUGGACGUCAGGAUCGUGAGUUGCAAAUUUGGCUGAUUUUCCUCGAAUUUCUCCGGCGAGAUCCUGUGAUCUUUGAGGUUUCAAACAGUUGUUUUGCAUAUAGGUGAAACCUAUCCCGAGGACGAGCGCAGUCACUCGAGGCAAGG